UCCCACAAGGGAAGAGCACCCCCAAACUCGGGUGUCCCAGCAUUUCUAAGGAUUUGCAGAGGCGGGUGAUGUGGAAAGCCUGCUCUCCACCCCCCUACAGGGCAAGACUGGUUCAUGUUUUAUGUCUUAGCAUGCUCUCCAAUUCAUUUGAAACUACUGUCCCAGCCUGGAGGGACCUGUGAAGUCUAGAAGUCAGUCCUGCACAGCUCUGCAGGCCUUCUGUCUCCUGCAGAUCCACUUUUUCUUUCCUAGGGCCUCUAAGCACAUUCGCCCUGUAGAACUUGUAAUCUAGAUUUUGAUUUAUUUUACAUGGCCAAUCAGUCCCAGAGUAUCUUCUGCAAAACCCCAGCGUCAUUUCUGAGCCUGAUGUGAGCUGAAAGCAAUGGCAAACAUCUUCAUCUGCCUUCUGCCUCUUCUCCCUCACGCGUUUCUCUUCACUGCACCACACUGACAUAAUUCACAAAGGGGCUGGCCAAUGGGUGCCUGGAUGUAGCACUGCCCUUUGGCAGCCUCUGUUGUAGACGUCCCCUUGACGUUCCCAAGGAUUCAGCCUUUGCGGGUGAACUCGGGUGUCCCCAGACGGAUGUACCUGGCAGCAUCAUGGCCCGGUGGCCAAUAGGCACAGGCCGUGCUCCUGGGACCAGCAGCAGGCCUCAGUGCACCGCUGUUGGCAUGUUCUUGGCUGUCCUGGGGACACCAGCAAUACCUGAGGGAUAUUUCACAAAACCACCACUGCUAGAAAAAGAAACAGAUGC
rnacentral:lncRNA from 1 species